UUCCUAAAGCUUUUAUCCUUUUGAGGAGCAAAAUUCUUUAUAUUGGUCUUAAGGAUGUCAUUUUAUUCAACUCAACUUUCACUUGGCAUACAUUUCCUUUAGUUGGACAAUGCUUGAUAGGUUUAGUCAUGUUUUUGGUAAUAUUUGUUUGAUUCAAUUUAUCUGAUAUCGAAGGUUCAAGGGAAUCACUACACUUUGUUCAAGGAAACUAUUUGAGGGAUGUUGUUUGUUUUUAAUCCUCAAUUGCGGAUAGCAACACUACUCCUUGAGUUUUUAACUUAUCCCCCAAUUGGAUGAGAAGGCAAUAUUUACAAUGGUGUUGUACAUUCUCGUACUUGAACUAGUCCUUAGCAAGGGGUAACAUGAUUUCAACAACAUUCUUUCCUAUAACUAAUUAAUAGAACUUUUUCUUUAAUCAAU
rnacentral:lncRNA from 1 species